CUACUGGGGUUUCUAAUCCUGUUUGCUCCCCACGCUUUCGCGCCUCAGCGUCAGUUACAGCCCAGAAAGUCGCCUUCGCCACUGGUGUUCCUCCACAUCUCUACGCAUUUCACCGCUACACGUGGAAUUCCACUUUCCUCUUCUGCACUCAAGUCCACCAGUUUCCAGUGCGAACCAGGGUUGAGCCCCAGCCUUAAACACCAGACUUAAUGAACCGCCUGCGCGCGCUUUACGCCCAAUAAUUCCGGACAACGCUUGCCCCCUACGUAUUACCGCGGCUGCUGGCAC
rnacentral:rRNA from 1 species